AACGAACGCUGGCGGCAGGCUUAACACAUGCAAGUCGAGCGCCCCGCCAGGGGAGCGGCAGACGGGUGAGUAACGCGUGGGAACGUACCUUUUGGUUCGGAACAACUCCGGGAAACUGGAGCUAAUACCGGAUAAGCCCUAACGGGGAAAGAUUUAUCGCCGAAAGAUCGGCCCGCGUCUGAUUAGCUAGUUGGUGAGGUAACGGCUCACCGAGGCGACGAUCAGUAGCUGGUCUGAGAGGAUGAUCAGCCACACUGGGACUGAGACACGGCCCAGACUCCUACGGGAGGCAGCAGUGGGGAAUAUUGGACAAUGGGCGCAAGCCUGAUCCAGCCAUGCCGCGUGAGUGAUGAAGGCCUUAGGGUUGUAAAGCUCUUUUGUCCGGGAAGAUAAUGACUGUACCGGAAGAAUAAGCCCCGGCUAACUUCGUG
rnacentral:rRNA from 1 species